GGGAUCUUGUCCGCCGCGGGUUCCCGCGGCGCGGUGCUUUAGUACCGCCAGUCUCGCCGUUCCGCGCGGAACUUGGACUCCCGGAAUAGUUCCGCGGCGCUCUGAAAGUUUUCCGCCGCGCCUCGAAAUCGGAAAUCAAAACUGGUGCCCGUGCGACGACAGGAGAGACGACUGGUGUUCCAUCCAUCGCCUCUUGUAACUCACGUUCGCAGUGAGAUCGCCACGAACGAUCUUCUUGGAUCGAUCUUGAGCCGAUAGGCCGUUGAUUUUUGUUGUCUGAUGGAAGUGGACACGGAGAACGUCGGGAUGGACGAGACGGACGCGCUGAUGAGGGCCGACAACGACAGCGGUGUCCUCAACAGUAAGGACAACGACGACGAUGAUGCGCCCACCGUCGAAGAGACCUACGAGAUCACCACCACCAGACGCAAGACCAUCCGCACCAGUUACAAGAUCCAGGAGACUUCCUCGUCGACCAAAAAAACCACCAUGACGACAGCGGCCAAGCUGUAUGGCAAGGACCUGAGCGAGUAUGAUGACAUUGACGUGGAUAAACUGUUGGCAGAGCUUACGCCAGAGGAGCUUAAUAUAUUAGCCAAGGAAGUGGAUCCUGAUGACAGCUUUAUGCCACCUUCUCAACGUUGCAGUUAUGAAUGCAACAAAAGUCCUACGGGGCCAUUGAAUCGGAAGAAACUUAUUGAGCACAUCAAUAAACAAGCUCUAGAGACACCUGAUAUUCCAGAAUUGAAACCAUAUGUACCUGGUGUAAUUAGAGGCAAAAAAUGGGUACCUCCGCCACAAGAAAACACAAAGGAAAAAGAGGCGGAGGAACAAAUCGCGAUAGAUCUCGGGGAAGAAUAUGAACAAGCACUUUCGGCCGCCACUCAAGAAGAAAUCAUUGAUCUUGCUGCUAUUCUUGGAUUCCAUUCCAUGAUGAAUCAAGAUCAGUAUCACGCAUCUUUAUUGAAUUCUGGGCAGCCAGUCGGUCUCGGUUGGGACGGAGUGACGAAAGCUAGUCAACCGAAAGUUUAUCCGAUGGAACCGCCUAAUGAUACGGAUGUUGAUGCUACCAUUAAGCAAGUGCGGGAUGACGAUUCGUCUCUAACUGAGUUAAAUUGGAACAAUAUUAAAAAUAUUUCGGACGAGAAAUUCAUUCAGUUGUUCGAAGGAUUAGAAAUGAACACACAUCUCGAAUCGUUAAGUUUAACUAACGUUGGACUCAACGAUAAGACCGCACAACGGCUGGCCGAUGCUCUAGAAAAGAAUUCGACACUCAGAGUACUCAACGUGGAGACAAACUUUAUAAGCCCGCCUGUGAUAGUAAGGUUGAUCAGAUCCCUUCUUAAGACAAAGUCCAUCGAAGAAUUCCGAUGUUCGAAUCAGAGGUCACAAGUAUUGGGUAACAAGAUUGAGAUGGAAAUUACACAAUUGGUUGAACAAAACCCGACGUUGUUGCGACUCGGAUUACAUCUUGAGUUCAAUGACGCUAGACAUCGCGUAGCUGCGCAUCUGCAACGCAACAUCGAUAGGAUACGGAAAGAUCUAACGCUGCGGCUACAGUUCCGAUUCUUUAACAUGAACCACAGGAAACCUGCCUUGAUUCAAUGAAAGUACGGCAGUCCCGGCUCGGGGUGGCGACAUCUUAACGCGAAGUGGCGUUCGCCUAGAUCGCCUGCGCCGCAUGGGAAGAGCUUCCCGUAACUACACCAUCGGCUGGGCCAUGCACUGAUGAUGAUCGCCACGGUGAUGGCAACGACGACGACGACGACGACGACGACGACGACGACGAUCGACGGAGAUGACGACGACGAUGAUCGCGCGCGACUUUCUCGCUGCAUCAAGCGCACCGCGCCGUAAAACGGCCUUCACAUACGCGUACUCACAUACACGCACACGUAUACACUCAUAUACGUCAUUUUACACAAUGCAGCGUUGAAUCCUUGGAUCCUCGGAACGCGAGAUCCGCAGAAGGUUCUCCGAAAUCGCGUAUUAACGGACGAUGGAAAUAAUUCGGUUCGACACGCGGAGGAAAUAAGCCGGAAGCUUCGCAUGAUAAAUUAUAUGUGUCUCUCGUCUUUGUUGUUCUAAAUAAAUAUAUAUAAAUAUAUACAUAAAUAUACAUACAUUUAUAUAGAUAUAUAUUCCUGCAUCACACACGGAGCUGUAUUGCGCGAAGGAUACUCUAAUGACGCGUCACGGUGUAAGAAAUUUAGGCCGCCGGAUGAAUAUCGAUAUUAAUGUUAAUUGAGAUUUAUAUAUUAUGUAUACACGUUGCGACGCAUAUGUAAUUGUUGUUAAAUCGUCGAAGAAAAAUUUUGCGGAGGGAAUGAUAACGGGAAGUGAACGCCGGGAGAAGCCGAAGAGACAACCUUUUUGAUAUAAUUGAUAUAAUAUACACGCCGUUCGCCGCUUUUAAACGGUGCAACUUAACCGGAUUAUUUAAAUAUUUAUACACGGAGAGGAGGAGUUCUUUAAUUAAUUCGACCAAACUUUCGACCGAGUGUGAUUGAGCGAUCGGGUACAACCUGUUCUGUGUUCUCCAUCUCCUUUUCUUUCUUUUGUCAAAAUUAUCUUUGUUUGUCUUUCCUGUCUGAUAAAGCAAUUCGUUUCUUAUGCAUCAGAAUAAGUAUGUCCGAGUAAUAGCUAUGUCUGAGUGAUUUUAAUGCGUCUGACCAAGGUAAGUAUCAGAAAAAUUUGUGAGGAUUAGAAAAGAAAAUCUUUUAGAGGAGAUGGAAAUAACUGCCUGAAAUGUAAAAUAAUAAUAAUCGAUUUUGUUAUUUUUAAAGUUACUAUGCUCUUUAACCAUCUUCGUAUUUUUGUAAAUACUAUUUAUCGCUUAAAUGUCGAAACAAAAUUGAUAUUUCGAUUUUGAGACGUGAUAGGUCAUAGCAAUACACGAAAUUAGUCACAAAUAUUUCUCUAAAUAUGAAUGAAGAACGAUACCACCGACCCGAUCGUUCCGCUCGGCAUAUAAUGUCACUAAGUAAUAUUCGCUAAGGUACUAACUCGUUGUUUAAAUUAAUAACUAUUUUAGCAUAUACAUGUAUACAAAUCAGUCUGUACAUAUUGUCUUCAAUGUCGUUUCUAAUCGAUCGAUGUGACCUACGUGUUGUAACGAGAGAGAAUGGAUUUAGUAUAAACGCGCAGAGAGAGAGAGAGAGAGAGAGAGAGAGAGAGAGAGAGAGAGAGAGAGAGAGAGAGAGAGAGAGAGAGAGAGAGAGAAAGGAGAGAGAGAAUGAGAAUGACAUAAUUGUCUCUGUGUGCAUGCGGGUGUGGAUGAAGAGGAGAGAAAGGGGGGAUGCACGGAUAAAGAUAAUUAUCUUUAGGGAUCUUACUGAUGUAGAUCACUCUGAGAUUGUCACCCCGUAUACGUUGCUGUACGCACUCGGGAUAGGUAAGCUCACGAAAAUGCGCGGAUCAAAAGCACCGUUUGAGCGAAAUUAUAAAACUGUUGAGAUUUUAUAUCCUCACGCCGUCGACAGAUUAGAGAUUUAAGUUUCGGAUUUUUCGCAUGCCGACUUUUUAGCUCCAAUUGAUUCCACGAACUCUUCGAGUUCUCCUCGAUUCGAUUAGGAUUUUACGCUUUAAGAAACGUGCAAAGUUCUUCUUGAUAAACGUAGAUCGUGGAGGUGAUAAAGAAAUAAGAAUCGAGAUGUCUAUAAAAAGAAAUAUUGUAAUUUCUGAUUCGCUCACGGCCCUCUUUAUUGUAUUCGCAUAAACGUGUAUUAGCAUAUGCACUCUGUCACACGCGACACAUUACGUACACGAAUAAUACACACAAAAUCCAAAUGCACGCGCACGAUCAAAGCCUUGCUGCUAGCCUUAUCUUGUAACACGAGGUUUAAAAUAAAUUGCUGAAAAACGUA